AGCCAACGCCGGCGGCAGGCCUAACACAUGCAAGUCGAACGGACCCUUCGGGGUUAGUGGCGGACGGGUGAGUAACACGUGGGAACGUGCCUUUAGGUUCGGAAUAGCUCCUGGAAACGGGUGGUAAUGCCGAAUGUGCCCUUCGGGGGAAAGAUUUAUCGCCUUUAGAGCGGCCCGCGUCUGAUUAGCUUGUUGGUGGGGUAAUGGCCCACCAAGGCUACGAUCAGUAGCUGGUCUGAGAGGAUGACCAGCCACAUUGGGACUGAGACACGGCCCAAACUCCUACGGGAGGCAGCAGUGGGGAAUCUUGCGCAAUGGGCGAAAGCCUGACGCAGCCAUGCCGCGUGUAUGAUGAAGGUCUUAGGAUUGUAAAAUACUUUCACCGGUGAAGAUAAUGACUGUAGCCGGAGAAGAAGCCCCGGCUAACUUCGUGCCAGCAGCCGCGGUAAUACGAAGGGGGCUAGCGUUGCUCGGAAUUACUGGGCGUAAAGGGAGCGUAGGCGGACAUUUAAGU
rnacentral:rRNA from 1 species